AGUCAGUUUUCCUGUAAUGGUGCGCUAUAUAAAAGCAAAACGCAGCACUAUAAAGUUUCAAUAGCUUGUAGAUUAUUGGAGUAAGCACAUCCUGAGCGAAAAUGAAACCUACAUUUGCUGUCGUAUUAGUAAUAGCGCUAUGCAUUCAACUUUGUCAAGUUUCUUGUGACAAUUCGCCUAAAUUGACGAGCUCCUCGUCAGUCUCAUCUACUACUGCUAAGCCUUGGACGCAAAAAAUUAAAGAUGGUUUGGGUAAGUUCUUGCAAGGAGCGGCGGUGGUAGGUGCAGUGCAACAAGGCUUCCACAAUGCUCGAGGCAGCGGUAAACAUAAGUCGAUGGGGCAUUCCGCUGGCGGCUCUACAAAACCUAAACACUAAGCAUUUUUCGUUCAAUAAAUUAUUCUGAUUGUA